AGAGCGAACGCUGGCGGCGUACCUAACACAUGCAAGUCGAACGGGGAUCAUAGGGUUAGCAAUAACUCUGUGGUUCUAGUGGCGCACGGGUGAGUAACACGUGGGUAACCUGCCCUUGAGACUGGGAUACCCCCUCGGAAAGGGGGCUAAUACCGGAUACGUUCCUCGGAUCGAAAGGUCUGAGGAGGAAAGGUGGACGAAAGCUGCCGCUCGUUGGAGGGCUCGCGGCCUAUCAGCGUAGUUGGCGGGGUAACGCCCACCGAAGGCUAGUGACGGUAGCUAGGUCUAGAGAGGACGACCAGCCAGACGGGACUGAGACGACGCCCCGAUCCGUACGGGAGCAGCAGUGGGUAAUUUCCG
rnacentral:rRNA from 1 species